GGGGGUGUCUAUAGCGGCGGGGUUCCACCUGAUCCCAUCUCGAACUCAGAAGUUAAGCCCGCCAGCGGCGAAAAUAGUACCGAGGUAGCUCGGCGCUAACAUAGCACGAUGCCCCCA
rnacentral:rRNA from 1 species